rnacentral:rRNA from 2 species
AGACCCGAAACCCGGUGAUCUAGCCAUGGGCAGGUUGAAGGUUGGGUAACACUAACUGGAGGACCGAACCGACUAAUGUUGAAAAAUUAGCGGAUGACCUGUGGCUGGGGGUGAAAGGCCAAUCAAACCGGGAGAUAGCUGGUUCUCCCCGAAAGCUAUUUAGGUAGCGCCUCGUGAAUUCAUCUCCGGGGGUAGAGCACUGUUUCGGCUAGGGGGCCAUCCCGGCUUACCAACCCGAUGCAAACUGCGAAUACCGGAGAAUGUUAUCACGGGAGACACACGGCGGGUGCUAACGUCCGUCGUGAAGAGGGAAACAACCCAGACCGCCAGCUAAGGUCCCAAAGUCAUGGUUAAGUGGGAAACGAUGUGGGAAGGCCCAGACAGCCAGGAUGUUGGCUUAGAAGCAGCCAUCAUUUAAAGAAAGCGUAAUAGCUCACUGGUCGAGUCGGCCUGCGCGGAAGAUGUAACGGGGCUAAACCAUGCACCGAAGCUGCGGCAGCGAACGUAUCACCCAAGACAACUUUACGGAGUUGACGAUUGACGGAGCGAAGCGACGUCAAAGCGUUCAUUAAAGUCGAGUUGGCUUAGGGAUACGUUCGUUGGGUAGGGGAGCGUUCUGUAAGCCUGUGAAGGUGUGUCGUGAGGCAUGCUGGAGGUAUCAGAAGUGCGAAUGCUGACAUAAGUAACGAUAAAGCGGGUGAAAAGCCCGCUCGCCGGAAGACCAAGGGUUCCUGUCCAACGUUAAUCGGGGCAGGGUGAGUCGACCCCUAAGGCGAGGCCGAAAGGCGUAGUCGAUGGGAAACGGGUUAAUAUUCCCGUACUUGGUGUUACUGCGAAGGGGGGACGGAGAAGGCUAUGUUGGCCGGGCGACGGUUGUCCCGGUUUAAGCGUGUAGGUGUGUGUUCCAGGUAAAUCCGGUUCACUUUAACACUGAGGCGUGACGACGAGGCACUACGGUGCUGAAGCAACAAAUGCCCUGCUUCCAGGAAAAGCCUCUAAGCAUCAGGUAACACGAAAUCGUACCCCAAACCGACACAGGUGGUCAGGUAGAGAAUACCAAGGCGCUUGAGAGAACUCGGGUGAAGGAACUAGGCAAAAUGGUGCCGUAACUUCGGGAGAAGGCACGCUGACACGUAGGUGAAGUGAUUUACUCAUGGAGCUGAAGUCAGUCGAAGAUACCAGCUGGCUGCAACUGUUUAUUAAAAACACAGCACUGUGCAAACACGAAAGUGGACGUAUACGGUGUGACGCCUGCCCGGUGCCGGAAGGUUAAUUGAUGGGG